rnacentral:rRNA from 1 species
ACCAGACUCCUACGGGAGGCAGCAGUGGGGGAUAUUGCACAAUGGGGGGAACCCUGAUGCAGCGACGCCGCGUGGGUGAAGGAGCGUUUCGGCGCGUAAAGCCCUAUCGGCAGGGAAGAAGAAAUGACGGUACCUGAAUAAGAAGCACCGGCUAAAUACGUGCCAGCAGCCGCGGUAAUACGUAUGGUGCAAGCGUUAUCCGGAUUUACUGGGCGUAAAGGGAGCGCAGGCGGCGCGCCAAGUCUGAUGUGAAACCCCGGGGCUCAACCCCGGGCAUGCAUUGGAAACUGGCGGGCUGGAGUGCCGGAGAGGUAAGCGGAAUUCCUAGUGUAGCGGUGAAAUGCGUAGAUAUUAGGAAGAACACCAGUGGCGAAGGCGGCUUUCUGGACUGAAACUGACGCUGAGGCACGAAAGCGUGGGGAGCGAACAGGAUUAGAUACCCCAGUAUA